rnacentral:rRNA from 1 species
UACCAGCACCCCGAGUGGUCGGGACGAUUAUUGGGCCUAAAGCAUCCGUAGCCGGUUCUGCAAGUCCCCCGUUAAAUCCAGCUGCUCAACAGAUGGGCCGCGGAGGAUACUACAGAGCUAGGAGGCAGGAGAGGCAAGCGGUAGCUCAGUGGGUAGGGGUAAAAAUCCGUUGAUCCAUUGAAGACCACCAGUGGCGAAGGCGGCUUGCCAGAAUGCGCUCGACGGUGAGGGAUGAAAGCUGGGGGAGCAAACCGG